AGUUUACAAUAAUGGGCAGCAAAGGCAGAGGGAGCGGGAGAUAUGUUGGAAUAUAGGACCAGAAAUAGAAACAAUAGUGUGUGGUGGAGAGACACACCAAUGCCCCUGAAAGGAAAAGUCCAUCUCGGGUAAAGCCCUCCUCACAUAUCUACACGAAAAGUUGUCUCUGGAAAACAGCCUCCACCAUCUCCGGGACCCCCACCACCCAGGCCAUGCUAUCUUCUCACUGCUGCCAUCAGGAAGGAGGUACAGGAGCCUCAUCACCAGAUUCAGGAACAGUUAUUAACCCUCAACCAUCAGGCUCCUGAACCAUAGGAUAACUUCACUCACCCCAUUAUUGAACUGUUCCCACAACCUACCAACUCGCUUUCAAGUUCUUUGCAGGAAUGGGACUGACAGUUAAUCGAUAUACCGAGGACACGGCCUAGAAGAUUAACUCGCCUUUGGAGUUUCAGGAUUUCGUGGCUCUGGAGGCAGGCGGACUCAAGGGAGGAGGUACAGAAGCUUGAAGACACACACUCAACGAUUCAGGAACAGGCUCUUCUUCCCCUCCACCAUCAGAUUUCUGAAUGGACAUUGAACCCAUGAACACUACCUCACUGUUUUUUUAUUCUCUUUUUGCACUGUUUAUUUAACUUUUUAAGUAUACAUAUACUUCUUGCAGUUUUUUAUUGCAUUGUACAUAACAACAAAUUUCAUGAUAUAUGCCAGUGAUAUUAAACCUGAUUCUGAUUCGAAGACUCUUAAUCUCAUGUUCUUGGUAUUUAUUUAUUGCUUGCUUGUUUAUUUGUUUGUUUUUAUUUAUUCACACAGUUAGUGUCUUCUGUUCUCUGGUUGAAUGCUCAGGUUGGUGCUGUCUUCCAUUGAUUCUAUUAUGGAUUUAUUGAGAAUGCCCACAAUAAAAUUAAUCCCAUGGUUGUUUAUGGUGAAUAUAUGUACAUUGGUAAUAAAUUUACUUUGAACUUUGAACUUGAGUCACUGAGGAUGCUCAACAGCUGUGGCAGGGCUUGCAUGCUGUCACCUUUUCAAAGUGAAACCAAGCAACAUAGAUGACAAGGCUUCGUUCCCGGAUGAGUUCAAUACCUUCUAUGCCAGGCAUGGACAAACUACGGCCCGGGGGCCAUAUGCGGCCCGUUAAGCUUUUUAAUCCGGCCCGCAGAACUUGAUGAAAUUAUAUUAAUAAACCUUGUUAACGUUUUUUCCCCACAAUUCUGGCGUUUUCCCAAUAGAUGACACACUCUAUAUACAUUGACCUUUGUUGAGGUGCAGCAUAUUACUCUACAUUUGCGCUUUACUCUUUGUUCGGCUCACCCUAUUUGUGUGAACAGGCAUUCAGCGUCAUGAACAUCAACAAAGCCAGCCACAGAUCCAAGUUAACUGACCAACACCUCAGAUCCAUCCUGAGAAUCGCCACAACAAAACUAAAUCCAGACUUUGAUGCGCUGGCUAAAAAGGGAGACCAACAACACUGUUCCCACUGAAAUUAAAAAUAAGUUUCUUCGUUGUGUUAUGUAAAAAAUGCAUUUGAAAAUAUUUUUUUCAAUAAGCCUUACAUGUUACAUGUCAUUUCUGUUAAGUGAUAGACAUGAGUAGUGUGCAGGUGCACGUACGUUCUCAAAAUAAAAAAUGCGCUCCAGAUCAAAUAACGUGCUCCGCAUACUGGCGCGCUGUCACUGUUCUGUCCUUGUGCUGGUCGUUGUUGAGUUUUGGCACAGGGGACAAUUGAAUAAGAAGGAGCAGGACAAGUAGACCUGCAUCUCCUACCGUUUUUGAAAUAAAGACAGUCAGGAGGAGAGUGAUGAUGAUAAUAUCUUGAAGGAUAACAGAAUUUUCAGUGCUUUAAAAUAAUAACUGUUACUAUUAAAAAAAGCUGUAUUUUAUUCAUUUGAUUUUCAGUGUUUUAAAAGUCAUUUCAAUAAAUAGC